rnacentral:lncRNA from 1 species
CGCAGAAUCCUAAGGGGAGGGAGAAGUAGGCUGCAGUCUGCUGAAGCUUGGACCCCCAGAACCUGUUGCCAUGGUCACAGGGGACUUUUGAUGUGAAGCGCGGCGACCCCCCCCUUGCUUGCCUUCAGGAUGACGUCACGGACGUCCGUUUCCCUGACAGGCCACCUGUGGGUUGCUCCCGGCUUUAAAGCAGCUGUUGUCCCCUGGCCCCCGCAGCCGUGUCCACCGCGUCGACACUGGAGCGGACCUUGUCGGAACUACAGACCUGUCUCCCACUCUGGCGGCUGCGGACCGGACAGACAGCCAGGGAGGAGGCAAGUAUUCCCCAAAGAGGCUUCCUCCCCUCCUCAUCCUCCUCCCCGCGCCCUUGCUCUGCAGCUUGAGCGGCAGGGUAGGAGGGGACUUUUUUCCAGAAAGAAGUGGACAGCAAGCAAUCAAUUUUCCUCUCCGGCCAUGGUGACCAAGUCCCUGCCCGGGCCCUUUCCAGGUUCAACAGACCUGUUGCACCCAGAGAAGAGCCCCAAACCGAUCGGCGCGCCAAGAGCCCCCGAGACUCUGCUUGCCAAUAUCCCGAGAGCCCAGCACCGACGGGGAAAUGUGGGGAAGCCCCCAGACGCAAUUGAGGUAAUCAUCUCAGUGUUCAGGGCCCCUCUUCCUACCCACUGAGAUAGCGGCAAAUAACUCACUAACCCGGAGGGCAAUGGAGAGGCGGAAGCCCUGUCUACUGAAAACGAACAUCUAGCGCAGGUGCGUGCUAGUCUCGCCUUUCCAUCCGCCGGGUCCUUGCCUAGCGGUCAGAAUCCCGCGGUCAGGUCUCUGGAGCCCCUCCCCGGCAAAUCCGAGCUUCUAGCUUCAGCACCAGAAGCUGGACAGCGCCCUGCCCGCUGAGCGCGGGACGAUCCCUGGGACGCCGCGCAGAGGAGUGCCUGAGAACUGAGGAUCAAAUGUGUGACCCUUGUACUCAGCUGCAUCCCUAGCCCUCUUUUUAUUUUGAAACAAGGUCUUGCUAAGUCACUAAGUUGCCCAGGCUUAGCCUUCGAGAGUGACGACAUUACAGAUCUACAUCUCCCUUUACUUCUAACCAUAGCAAAGCCAGUGGGCAGCCAGUUCUAUUAGAAAUCUCAUUCACACUUGAGAAGUCUGCAAAUUGGCAUCGCUCAGCAGGUGUCUGCUCCUCACGGCCGGAUGUCAGGAUGAGCAGAGCAGGGGGACAGCGGACUCAAGAGUCAGUCUCUCCUGGCAGCAUCUGGGGCUGGAGCCAGGUAAACGGGCAGAAAGCCUACUUCCGGAAACAAGCAUCUGGGGAGUGGGGUCCGCUCCUGGUUGGAGAGGUGGAUGCAGGGGCCCCUGUUGGUGCGCAGAGGAGGGAGUCCUGGCUCUGAAGUCAAACACGCACGUGUCCAUCUUGGCUGCACCCCUGCACAGGUGUGUGACUUUAAGCCAGUCACUUAACGUCUUUGAGCCUUGGAUCCUUGAACUGCAGGAUGGAAUUAGUCACCUCCACCGUGGCAGGUUGUUGGGACAAGUCGGUCGUGGAUGCAGAGCUGCACAGGCACAGACUCCCCCUCCCCCACUGUCCCCUUCCCGGAAGUCAGGGCGCCCGGGAACCUCGAACCACGGUGGAGUUGUAGCCACGCCUAAGGGGUGACCCUUCCCCCUCCCCAGGUCACUAUGCCCUGCAAUUCGCGGAAGAAUGAACGCACCCCAACCCUCCCCACCGCAAAACCACAGAAAUCAAGGACUAGAAUUUGUGGCUUGCCUCUAAGUCACUCAGCAAGAUUCACAAUUUAGUGCUUCGUGAGGUGAUCUUCUAGGUAGCCCAAAAAGGGCCUCGGGUUCCUCACCCUCACCCAUCACCCGACUUUCGCGGUCCUGGUCCAGCGCUCACAUCGCAACUGCAAGUUUCCCUGGAUGUGCGGGGAUGCGGCGCCCUCUGCUGGGCCUUCGAUGCAACUGCUCGUUAGGCGAGCAAGGGUGGAGAGUAAAUUUCCCUGGAUCAAAUCCUUCCGGUCUUUCAUUAAAAUACUGUGCGAAAUUAACCUGGAUCUAUGAGUCCUGGAAAUUCUUAGAAGCUAGGGGCACUAUACAAGUGCCACAAUCGUCUUGGUGACAGGCCAUGUCCUGGUAGGUCCAAAGUCCAGCCACAGUGGGGUCAUGAGUGCCAGUAGAGCCAGCUGUGGUGGCAUGGGCCUGUAAUCCCAGCACUCCGGGAAGCUGAGGCAAAAGGGUUGCAAGUCUGAGCUCAGCCUGGGCAGUUUAGCGAUUUAAUGAGACCUUGUCUCAACAUUAAAAAAAAAUUUUGUUUAAAUACCUCAGUUUGAAAGACCUGGGUUCAAUUCCCAGUACCCGCCCCCACCCCACACACAAGGGAAGCUGCUUGACUUACAGUUAGCCCCCAGAGUUUUGUCAGCUUCGUUCCCUCUAACUCAAGGGGUCUUAAACUCAGCCCUGCACCAGGAUCAGCUGCUAACCAGUCAGCUCGGUAGAAUACAGAUCACUGGGCCCCCACCUGGCUAUCUCACUCCAGGUCCAACAAAUUCCCAGCCAAGCUCUAGGCUGCUGCUCUGGGUCCACACUGAGAGAACCACUGCUCUGAAAAUUGGUCAGAUCAAUACACCCUUUCAGGUCUACGACUGGCUCAGAUCCAUGAGGAUCCCCACAGCCCACCCGAAGCCCUCAAAGUGGUGCCCACAGCAGGCAUAAUAGUGCCUGGAUGGUCCAUAAGGAUUCGUGCUCGAAAAGCAGAUCGUGUCUCCAGAUGUCUCAUGUGCUCCGGGAUUGAAACUGUGGGGUCCCUGGGGGAAGGGUUUGACCAUAUGCUUUCCUCACCAGGUUCCACCCCAAAGGGUUCUAUUACAGAGAAGCCCUGGCCUUUGAAAGAGGAGCUAUUUUCACUCUAAGAGCUGGUAAGUAGCUGGGCAUGGUGGCACAUAUCAUAAUCGCCGCAAUCUGAAGGCUGAGGUAGGAAAAUCAAAAGUUCUAUUCCACUCUGGGUAACUUAGUGAGUUAGAGAGACUUUGUCUCAAAAUUUAAAGUUUUAAAAAUGGGUUGGGGGCCAAGAAUUUAGCUCAGUGGUGCCACCACCCGCCUCGCAAGCGCAAGGUCCCAAAUUCAAUCCCAGUACCAAAAAAAUAAAAAGUAAAAAAAAUAGAAAUGGGUUGGGGACAUUGCUCAGAACAAAGGCUCUGCAUGCAUUCCCCAAUACCGCAGAAAUAAAGAGUUGGUAGGUAGGCUGAGUAGCUUCCUAAAGAAGCAGGAUUAGGGGUACUGCUGUCCCCAGUGACAUGCAGUAUGGAGGCCAUCAUCACUGGGGUCUCAAACUGUUUUGCUUAAUAAUGUUCUUACCAAGAAUCUAAGUAGUGGGGCAGGGAUUUAGCUCAAUGGUGCCUUGCCUGCCUCACAAGCACAAGGUCCCCAAUUCGAUCCCCCAUACUAAAAAAAAAAGAAUCUAAGUAGUUACAAAGGUUGUAUUGAUAUCUUUAUAAAAUAUGCCAAAUAACUGCAAUGAAAUCUGAAUAGCAGAGUGAUUUGAUAUUAAUCAUAUCUUUUUUUUUUUUUUGGUACCGGGAUCAAACUUGGGACCUUGAGCUUGUGAGGCAGGCAGUGGAACCACUGAGCUAAAUCCACGGCCCCAGUCAUAUCCAUUUUUAAGAAGAGUCUUGAAAAUUCUUUUUCACAAUGCGAGUCAUCGAACCUGCACUUCUUCUACAAAAGAUUGGGUCAAGUUCCUUAUUUCAGUUUCAGGCUCUCAGACCCAGCCCAGUGACAAGCCUGGACAACUUAGUGACUUAGUGAGACCCUGCUGGGCAUUUAAUGGGUUCAACCCCAUUUUCUCUCCCCUCAAAUCAGCUCUUUGUGUAACCCUUGAGAUAUUGUAGAUUUUAUGGAUUGUUCUUCCUAUUGUGUACUCUUAGCAUCCUGCAUCACACCCUCAAAAUAACCCUUUUAAAUAAAGUCUCCCUUUACUCAAUCCGGACUAUUUUUUUACAUUCUAUGCAGCAUUCUUUACAUUUGGCUCCUGCUACAGCGUUUUAUGCAAGCUUAUUGUAUAGAACACCCUUGUGCUUUCCUGUCCCAAGAAUAUGUUGAUAAAUUUGAACUCGCUAAUUCUGAAAAUUUUUCUGUGAUCAUAAAGCUGUAAGUGUUCAUUUGUUAUGCAAUAUCAGUACCUCACUUAAAAUAAAUACACAGAAUUUUCAUUAAAAUAAAUACACAGCAUUCAUAAGAAUCUUUCAGAUUUCCGCAACAACCUCAAAUUCUUUGUCACAGGAAUGCCUCCGAAACGCUGCCACUUAUAAAAGAAAUGUACGUCUAUCUACAUGAAGAAGCAGCGGAAGCAGACAGAAGCGUUUGUAUUUUAAAUCCCCCCCUUUCGGCUCAGGGGAAAUCUUUCUACAGGAAGAUCCUUGCAGGAUCUAAAACCUGCAAGGACUCAUUUACACAGGUGGCUGUGGCCCGAAAGACUUCAUCUGCAUAAUAAGGCAAUCCUGGCUUGUGGUGCCGCAGCCAGUCCCCUUAGAGCUCCGAGUAGAGCUCAGACAUUUUACCCCUCUUGGGGUUGGAUUCCUGUCCCUUAGACAGGUGAUACAACGUGUAUGUUCUUGUUCCUCUUAUUUAUUGCAUAGAACGGAUCAAAUAAAAUUAUUGAGCCUUCAGAGGGAAAACAGCAAAUCCAAGCUUCCCUACAUGAGUAAAAGAAUUUUUAAAAUAAAGCAGAAACUGCUGUUUUCUUGUACUGGGAAUUGAACCCAGGGCCUUCGCCCUGAGCGACAUCCCCAGUCCCCCCACCCCAAAAAGGCUUUAAAAAAAGCCAAGUUC